AGUGAACGCUGGCGGUAGGCCUAACACAUGCAAGUCGAACGGCAGCACAGUAAGAGCUUGCUCUUACGGGUGGCGAGUGGCGGACGGGUGAGGAAUACAUCGGAAUCUACUUUUUCGUGGGGGAUAACGUAGGGAAACUUACGCUAAUACCGCAUACGACCUACGGGUGAAAGCAGGGGAUCUUCGGACCUUGCGCGAUUGAAUGAGCCGAUGUCGGAUUAGCUAGUUGGCGGGGUAAAGGCCCACCAAGGCGACGAUCCGUAGCUGGUCUGAGAGGAUGAUCAGCCACACUGGAACUGAGACACGGUCCAGACUCCCACGGGAGGCAGCAGUGGGGAAUAUUGGACAAUGGGCGCAAGCCUGAUCCAGCCAUACCGCGUGGGUGAAGAAGGCCUUCGGGUUGUAAAGCCCUUUUGUUGGGAAAGAAAAGCAGCAGGUUAAUACCCCGCUGUUCUGACGGUACCCAAAGAAUAAGCACCGGCUAACCUCGUG
rnacentral:rRNA from 1 species